UAAUUAUGAAUGAAGGGAAGAUGGGUGGCCCAUGAACAACUAAUCUUAUUUUUACGUUUGAAAUUUAAAAUUUCAAUGAAUAAAAAAUAGGAUUAGUCUGCCCAUUUUCUAUAAAACAACGAGCUAUUACACAACAAUUGCGCCUUGGCGUAAUUGUUGCUGGAUGACAAAAUAGUCUUUUUGUGUAACGUUAUUUUUGCAGCUAAUCCUUCCAAAAACAUUGGAGGGAUUUUUUU
rnacentral:sRNA from 1 species